rnacentral:misc_RNA from 1 species
GUAGGUGAACCUGCGGAAGGAUCAUUAUUGAAAUAAACCUGAUGAGUUGUUGCUGGUUCUCUAGAGAGCAUUGUGCACGCUUGUCAUCUUUAUGUCUCCACCUGUGCACAUUUUGUAGACCUGGAUCACUCUCUAAAAUGCUUAACCAGCAUUUUAGGUUGGAGGAAUUUGACUUUGUGGUCUUUCCUUGCAUUUCUAGGUCUAUGUUCUUUUUCAUAUAAUCUUAUUGUGAUAUAAUGGACCCUAUAUAAUAUAAACCUAUACAACUUUCAGCAACGGAUCUCUUGGCUCUC